AUUAAACUCGAGCCUUUUUGUGCUCUAACCAAAUGCAGUCAUUGGCUCCUGUAAGCAGGCAGGAAACGAACAGGCACAGAUGAGCUGACCUUGGGUGCCUUGCUAACCUAAGACGUUUCAGGUCAGCCGUGCCGGACUGCGACACUGUAGUGACUGAGUCUCCUUCACAAACCACUGUGUUAUUGCCACCCUUUGAAAGUACAAGAUGGCGCUUCCUGAGAAACACCUUGAAGCCCUCAGUGGAGAUCCCUUUGGCCGGGGUCAGCCUCCUCUCCUCAUCCUCCUCUCCUCCAGGGGUCACCUGGACGCCCACUUCCACCGGAACAGCCCCUCUUCCCAGCUCCAGUGACCUGCCCCUGGGAGAGAUGGGAAGACCCAUAACCCCGCCAGCUUCCCCAGGUUUGGAGAAGGACCCCAGUCCGCCAACAGGCCCCCGGCACAGACGGCGCUUGUGCUCGAUGAAAACCAGGAUAUCACCCAGAGGGAAGUUAGUCUGGCACUGGCCGCAGGUCAAGAGAUCAUGCUCUCCAGAUGCUGUCCUCCGAGGGCUGGGGGUGGACAGCUCAAGUGAUGGAGUUCCUGCCGCUGAGUCAUGAUUGACCUCUGCUGCAGAAAUAAGAAG